rnacentral:rRNA from 1 species
AGUGAACGCUGGCGGCAGGCCUAACACAUGCAAGUCGAACGGCAGCACGGCAGUAGCAAUACUUUGGGUGGCGAGUGGCGGACGGGUGAGGAAUACAUCGGGAUCUACCCUGUUGUGGGGGAUAACGUAGGGAAACUUACGCUAAUACCGCAUAAGAACUGAGGUUGAAAGCGGCGGACCGCAAGGCGUCGCGCGAUUGGAUGAACCGAUGUCCGAUUAGCUAGUUGGCGGGGUAAAGGCCCACCAAGGCGACGAUCGGUAGCUGGUCUGAGAGGACGACCAGCCACACUGGAACUGAGACACGGCCCAGACUCCUACGGGAGGCAGCAGUGGGGAAUAUUGGACAAUGGGCGAAAGCCUGAUCCAGCAAUGCCGCGUGAGUGAAGAAGGCCUUAGGGUUGUAAAGCUCUUUCGCCUGCGACGAUGAUGACGGUAGCAGGAGAAGAAGCCCCGGCUAAUUCCGUGCCAGCAGCCGCGGUAAU